rnacentral:lncRNA from 1 species
GAAUCCAAAAUCAGUAAGAAAAAUCCUUUUCAGCCAAUUUUGAGGUUCCGGUACGGUGGCACCACCGUUCUCUGCCAAUGGUUCCACCGGUGGCGGUCGUAGUUUGCCUCGACCUAGCUGUUUUCUAUCGAUUUUAGCCAGUUUUGGCCGACUUUGUAUAUAUUUUUGCGAGAAAAUACGUUAGGGGGCCUCAAUUGGCUGAAAAAA